AUACGGAGGAUCCGAGCGUUAUCCGGAUUUAUUGGGUUUAAAGGGUGCGCAGGCGGCCAUUUAAGUCAGCGGUUAAAUCGUGGGGCUCAACCCCAUUCUGCCGUUGAUACUGGGUGGCUUGAUUGCGGUCGAGGUUGGCGGAAUUCGUUGUGUAGCGGUGAAAUGCAUAGAUAUGACGAAGAACACCGAUUGCGUAGGCAGCUGACCAGAUCGCAAAUGACGCUCAUGCACGAAAGUGCGGGGAUCGAACAGGAUUAGAUACCCUGGUAGUCCGCACAGUAAACGAUGAAUACUUGUUUUCGGCGAUAUAAUGUCGGAGGCAAAGCGAAAGCGAUAAGUAUUCCACCUGGAGAGUACGCCGGCAACGGUGAAACUCAAAUGAAUUGACGGGG
rnacentral:rRNA from 1 species